UACGUAGGGUGCAAGCGUUGUCCGGAAUUAUUGGGCGUAAAGAGCUCGUAGGCGGUCUGUCGCGUCUGCUGUGAAAACCUAGGGCUUAACUCUGGGCGUGCAGUGGGUACGGGCAGGCUAGAGUGCGGUAGGGGAGACUGGAAUUCCUGGUGUAGCGGUGAAAUGCGCAGAUAUCGAGGAGGAACACCGGUGGCGAAGGCGGGUCUCUGGGCCGUAACUGACGCUGAGGAGCGAAAGCAUGGGGAGCGAACAGG
rnacentral:rRNA from 1 species